rnacentral:rRNA from 1 species
CACGUAGGGUGCGAGCGUUGUCCGGAAUUAUUGGGCGUAAAGAGCUCGUAGGCGGUGUGUCGCGUCGGCCGUGAAAACCUGCAGCUUAACUGUGGGCUUGCGGUCGAUACGGGCAUCACUGGAGUUCGGCAGGGGAGACUGGAAUUCCUGGUGUAGCGGUGAAAUGCGCAGAUAUCAGGAGGAACACCGGUGGGCGAAGGCGGGGUCUCUGGGCCGAUACUGACGCUGAG